ACUACAGGACCCUCAAAAUCCCUUCCAACUCUAGAAUUCUAUGGUUGGUGAUGUCUUCCAUUGUAUCCCUUCCUCCUCCAUUUCUAAGUGCCCUCUGCUUACCAGGAGAAGUGUUGGAGAAUUCUGUAGAACCCUAGAGAAUAAAUUAUGUGUUGCAGAGCAAAAGUCCCUGAGCACCAUCUUCUGGAAACAACCUUCCAGGCAGGUUUGGAACUGCUGUGGUAAUGACGUUGUGGAGAAUGUGGCAAGAUUUUUGAGCGACGCCAUGAAAUCACCAUAGGUCCCAAGAGCCAUUUUUGUACCUCACAAUGUCUGGACAGUUUUAUCCUAAGAGAAUCUGCUACUAUGUUUCGUUAACUGCAUUGUGAUCCAUGUAUAUGAUGCGCUUUUUCUGUGCCAAUAAAGGAGAUUGAUUGAUUGAA